ACUGCUCAGUAACACGUAGUCAACAUGCCCAGGGGACGUGGAUAACCUCGGGAAACUGAGGAUAAACCACGAUAGGCCAUGAUGUCUGGAAUGACUUAUGGCUCAAAUCUACAUGGCCCCUGGAUUGGACUGCGGCCGAUCAGGCUGUUGGUGAGGUAAUGGCCCACCAAACCUAAAACCGGUACGGGCUCUGAGAGGAGAAGCCCGGAGAUGGGCACUGAGACAAGGGCCCAGGCCCUAUGGGGCGCAGCAGGCGCGAAACCUCUGCAAUAAGCGAAAGCUUGACAGGGUUAUUCUGAGUGAUUUCCGCUAAGGAAGUCUUUUGGCACCUCUAAAAAUGGUGCAGAAUAAGGGGUGGGCAAGCCUGGUGUCAGCCGCCGCGGUAAUACCAGCACCCCGAGUGGUCGGGACGAUUAUUGGGCCUAAAGCAUCCGUAGCCGGUUCUGCAAGUCUUCCGUUAAAUCCAGCUGCUUAACAGUUGGGCUGCGGAGGAUACUAUAGAGCUAGGAGGCGGGAGAGGCAAGCGGUACUUAGUGGGUAGGGGUAAAAUCCGUUGAUCCACUGAAGACCACCAGUGGCGAAGGCGGCUUGCCAGAACGCGCUCGACAGUGAGGGAUGAAAGCUGGGGGAGCAAACCGGAUUAGAUACCCGGGUAGUCCCAGCUGUAAACGAUGCAGACUCGGCGAUGAAUAGGCUUCGUGCAUAUUCAGUGCCGCAGGGAAGCCGUUAAGUCUGCCGCCUGGGGAGUACGGUCGCAAGACUGAAACUUAAAGGAAUUGGCGGGGGAGCAC
rnacentral:rRNA from 1 species